GGGAGGGUUGGCCUCCUUCUGGUCGGGCAAGAGAAGGGGCUCCGAUUCCCGCCAGGGGGCGAUUAGUACUUGGAAGGAGAAACGCAGCAGGUUGUCUUGAAGCGCCUUAAAGGCUCCCCGCGGAAGCUUGCAUGCUUGUGGCAGGAGCUUUUACGCGCUCUCUAUCUCACACACAAACACGUACGUAGAGAGGAUGGCACUGUAAAGCAGCCCUCGCCAUGUUUUGGACGAAAACUCCCCAUCGGAUGGGAGUUGUCCAAAAACAUCUGGAGGGCGCCAGGUUGGCAAACGCGGCAUGUAAACAGUAAAGCCUUCAAUGCAAAGAUGUGACGCGACUGUGCAAAGCUGAAACGUAUACAAGAUGUGAAUCGCGGGCGCAAAGCUGUCAACGUUUCCCUUUUUUUUAAGGGAAAUUCCCUUAUUCCGAAUAGGAUUCCUCGCAAGAAAAGGGAAAAGUUGACAGCUAUGCGCGGGCGUAGCCGAGAUUUAUUGGGGGGGGGGAGCAGAACUGAGUUAUCUACAAUGCGAUGGGUCAGUUAGUUAAGUAUUUAUUAUUUAUUUGCUUGAUUUAGGGGGGCAGCUGCCCCCCUGCACUCCCCUGACUAUGCCCACGAUGUGAAUGGUUACCUUUUAACUUGUAUUCAUUUGAGCUUCGCACUGUGAAAUUUUAUCUCCUUUGCCUGACCUUUUGACUCCACUGUUUACGUCGUCGUCGUCGUCGUCGUCGUCCCCUCGCCACCGUCCGGAUCCCUUUGUCUGUGUGUGGCUCUGCCCGGUUAGAAUCCACUUUGGCAUCUGAGGAAAGCUUAUACUGAAACAUCCUGCUAGUUUCUAAGGUGCCAGAAGACCCCCUUUUAUCCUGAAAAGGGAGAUAGCAGGAUCUCACCUGGCUGCUCAAAUUAUUGGGGUGGAGUGAUGCUAACCUUAGUUAGUUUUAAGCCAACUACAGUGUUACCUCGGGUUACAGACACUUCAGGUUACAGACGCUUCAGGUUACAGACUCCGCUAACCCAGAAAUAGUGCUUCAGGUUAAGAACUUUGCUUCAGGAUGAAAACAGAAAUCGUGCAGCAGCGAUGCGGCAGCAGCGGGAGGCCCCAUUAGCUAAAGUGGUGCUUCAGGUUAAGAACAGUUUCAGGUUAAGAACGGACCUCCAGAACGAAUUAAGUUCUUAACCCGAGAUACCACUGUAUGUGGCAUAAGAUUUUGAUAAAAUUGUGGUGAGUCAGAGUUAGGGCUUGUUUAGACUUCAUUACGGCCACCUUUACCCCAUUUUGAGCACAGAUCUCAACUUACCAGCCAAUGAUAGCAUUUUAAAAUUAUUAUUUAAAGGGCUUCCCUUUAUCUCGAAUGUUUUAAACUUCAGGGCAGAUCUGCACCAUGUAUUUAAAGCACAUUUAAAUCUGUGUCAAAUGUGCUUUAGUUGGUGUGGUAUACGUACUUUUUAUUGCCCAUCUCUGUAAAAUGUUCUCUUUUGAUUAUUGAUAAUACUGCAUUUUAAACUUUCUUUUCAGGCAAUUGUUGUAUCUCAAAGUGGCUCACAUAAACUAAAAAGCAGGCCCUGUCAUCGGGUUUACAAGCUAAAAGGACCAGAGCCUCAAGGAAAGGGGAGGGGAGGGAAAUGUGUACUUCAAGGCUAGAAAAAUGUGGCAAGCUGCAAGAAUUUAUGGUCAUAUUCUCACAUCAUAUGUUUAAAGCCAUGUCAUAGGAGUAUAGCAUCUAGAUCAAGGGAAGUAAUAGUGCCACUGUAUUCUGCUCUGGUCAGACCUCACCUGGAGUACUGUGUCCAGUUCUGGGCACCACAGUUCAAGAAGGACACUGACAAACUGGAACGUGUCCAGAGGAGGGCAACCAAAAUGGUCAAAGGCCUGGAAACGAUGCCUUAUGAGGAACGGCUAAGGGAGCUGGGCAUGUUUAGCCUGGAGAAGAGGAGGUUAAGGGGUGAUAUGAUAGCCAUGUUCAAAUAUAUAAAAGGAUGUCACAUAGAGGAGGGAGAAAGGUUGUUUUCUGCUGCUCCAGAGAAGCGGACACGGAGCAAUGGAUCCAAACUACAAGAAAGAAGAUUCCACCUAAACAUUAGGAAGAACUUCCUGACAGUAAGAGCUGUUCGACAGUGGAAUUUGCUGCCAAGGAGUGUGGUGGAGUCUCCUUCUUUGGAGGUCUUUAAGCAGAGGCUUGACAACCAUAUGUCAGGAGUGCUCUGAUGGUGUUUCCUGCUUGGCAGGGGGUUGGACUCGAUGGCCCUUGUGGUCUCUUCCAACUCUAUGAUUCUAUGAUUCUAUGAUUCUAUGAUUCUAAUAACACUUUAAACAGUCAUGGCUUUCCCCAAAGAACUCUGGGAGCUGUAGUUUGCUAAGGGUCCUGAGAGUUGAGGAGACCCCUAGUCCGCUCAGAGAGCUACAAUUCCCAGAAUUCCCUGUGAAGACGGAUUGUUAAACCACACCUGGGACUAAGUUUAUAAAUGCACUAGAAGCUGAUAUCAUCUGUGAAAGGCUUUUCUGGCGGGGAUGUUGUGGGGGGGGGGGGGCAUGGAGAGGAAAAAUGGGUUUUCUAUACUUUUAACAGUUUCACAAUCACAUUAUAAAACUGGACAGUUUUCUCUUUUUAAAUGGCUCCCAGAUUAUAGAUAUAAGCAGUCUGUAUAUAGUCAUGUCUAUAGUGUGUCCCAGAUAUAAAGUACCUUUCAAAAUUAAAUAAAUAAUGGUGAGGCCAGGCGGGAGGACAAGCAAAUUGUUCCCAGAUGCCUUUUAACGUCUGGGAAGAAAAAAAGAAAAUGCUUAUUCAGUAUACAGUCCAAGCUGCACUACUGGCAGAUAUUGAAUUUCUGCUUCUCUCUCUUUUUAGCCCUGAAAACGUCUUGACAUCUUGAAGCAAUCAGCGGCUACGAAAAGGCACGUGCCUCCGGCAGCCAAGGGACAAGCAAGACGUGACAGCAGCAACAGUCUUGAGUGCCAGGCUUGGAUCACAGCAAACUGUGUCUCUGUGUGAAUUUAAAGCACAGAAUGGGCAGCAGGGUGGUGUUUAUGUGUGCCAAAUCUUUUCCCUGGCCAGGCCUCUUCCCUCUAACGCUGCUUCUGCCUGAUUUUCUCUCCGUGGGGCUAACUCCCACUAUGGGCCCCUUUCGACAUCCCCUUUUAUUAUGGCACAUUCAAAAUCAUUUGUGUUCAUGAGGCUAUCGAGCCAGUUAUACCAGUGAUGUGCAAUGAAUUUUUUUUGUAGGGCUGUACAGUGGUACCUUGGGUUAAGAACUUAAUUCGUUCUGGAGGUCCGUUCUUAACCUGAAACUGUUCUUAACCUGAAGUACCACUUUAGCUAAUGGGGCCUCCCGCUACCGCCGUGCUCUCAUCCUGAGGUAAAGUUUUUAACCUGAGGUACUAUUUCUGGGUUAGCGGAGUCUGUAACCUGAAGCGUCUGUAACCAGAAGCGUCUGUAACCUGAGGUACCACUGUAUGUACAUUUGGUGACUCCAUAGUUGAACCACCUGCAAGGCAGGAAUCUCCAUUCAAGCAUCCCUGGCAGAGGCCUAAAAACCUUCAAUGAAGGAGAGUUCACAACCUCCCAAGGAAGCCCAUUCCCCAGCCGGUCAAUUUGCCAAUUCCUAGCAGCUUGCAAAAAGAAGAAGAAAAGUUUGGCUUGGCUUUGUUUUUUGAAGAAGACAAGCCCAGAGGUGGAAGGGUGGGUUCCUCCUCCCAAUUAAAAAGCUAUUUUUACACCCCUUUCUUUCUUCAUCAUCUCCCUUACUAUGAUUGUGCUGUUGCUGGUUGUGGCCUGUUUCUGCUGAUCCUUCAGGUUCUGGCAGAUUGGGACUGGCGGUUUAUUAUAACACCAUGCUUUCAAACACACACACACACACACAGAGAGAAAGAAAGAGAGUGGCUGAAGGAGGGGAGGAAGGAAACGAGAUUAUUAAGGUUGCAGGGGUCUUAUAUUCCACCAACUGCUAUUUCUUACAAAAUGAAGGAGAAGGGGCUGCAGUUCUGCUUCAAGCCAUUGCUUCCUGCUCAGGUGUGUGCAUUGCUUUGCAGGGUUGUGCAAUUUUGCAGCCUUUAUGGAGGUAAUCAGAGAGAGA